UUGAACGCUGGCGGAAUGCUUUACACAUGCAAGUCGAGCGGCAGCGCGGGGGCAACCUUGGCGGCGAGCGGCGAACGGGUGAGUAAUGUAUCGGAACGUACCUUGUCGUGGGGGAUAACGCAGCGAAAGUUGUGCUAAUACCGCAUACGUCCUGAGGGAGAAAGCGGGGGAUCGCAAGACCUCGCGCGAUAAGAGCGGCCGAUAUCUGAUUAGCUAGUUGGUGGGGUAAGGGCCUACCAAGGCGACGAUCAGUAGCUGGUCUGAGAGGACGACCAGCCACACUGGGACUGAGACACGGCCCAGACUCCUACGGGAGGCAGCAGUGGGGAAUUUUGGACAAUGGGGGAAACCCUGAUCCAGCCAUUCCGCGUGAGUGAAGAAGGCCUUCGGGUUGUAAAGCUCUUUCGGCAGGGAAGAAAAGGCUACGGAUAAUACCUGUGGUUCAUGACGGUACCUGAAGAAGAAGCACCGGCUAACUACGU
rnacentral:rRNA from 1 species